rnacentral:rRNA from 1 species
ACUCCUACGGGAGGCAGCAGUGGGGAAUAUUGCACAAUGGGCGCAAGCCUGAUGCAGCCAUGCCGUGUGUGUGAAGAAGGCCUUCGGGUUGAUAAAGCAGCUUUCAGUCGUGAGGAAGGUAGUGUCAGUUAAUAGCUGCAUUAUUUGACGUUAGCGACAGAAGAAGGCACCGGCUAACUCCGUGCCAGCAGCCGCGGUAAUACGGAGGGUGCGAGCGUUAAUCGGAAUUACUGGGCGUAAAGCGCAUGCAGGUGGUUUGUUAAGUCAGAUGUGAAAGCCCGGGGCUCAACCUCGGAAUUGCAUUUGAAACUGGCAGACUAGAGUACUGUAGAGGGGGGUAGAAUUUCAGGUGUAGCGGUGAAAUGCGUAGAGAUCUGAAGGAAUACCGGUGGCGAAGGCGGCCCCCUGGACAGAUACUGACANUCAGAUGCGAAAGCGUGGGGAGCAAACAGGAUUAGAUA